rnacentral:ncRNA from 1 species
AAAUGUAGAGGUUGCAGGACUUAUCAGUAACAUAUUGGAUGUGCCAGACACAGAUGAAGAUAUGAGAAAGGAAGUUUUGCCGAAAGGAUAUUUUGACUGGCAAGAUAUCGCUUGGGUAUAUGGUUAAGAACCAUAUAACUGUCAUCUAUAAAAGAUGGUGAGCUACGGA